AUUGAACGCUGGCGGCAGGCCUAACACAUGCCAGUCGAGCGGAUGAAGGGAGCUUGCUCCUGGAUUCAGCGGCGGACGGGUGAGUAAUGCCUAGGAAUCUGCCUGGUAGUGGGGGAUAACGUCCGGAAACGGGCGCUAAUACCGCAUACGUCCUGAGGGAGAAAGUGGGGGAUCUUCGGACCUCACGCUAUCAGAUGAGCCUAGGUCGGAUUAGCUAGUUGGUGGGGUAAAGGCCUACCAAGGCGACGAUCCGUAACUGGUCUGAGAGGAUGAUCAGUCACACUGGAACUGAGACACGGUCCAGACUCCUACGGGAGGCAGCAGUGGGGAAUAUUGGACAAUGGGCGAAAGCCUGAUCCAGCCAUGCCGCGUGCGUGAAGAAGGUCUUCGGAUUGUAAAGCACUUUAAGUUGGGAGGAAGGGCAGUAAGUUAAUACCUUGCUGUUUUGACGGUACCAACAGAAUAAGCACCGGCUAACUUCGUG
rnacentral:rRNA from 1 species